rnacentral:tRNA from 1 species
CAGGCGGUAGCUUACCCACUUUAAAGCACUCAACUUACACUUGAACGACGCCAAAUGACAGGCCCGCCUGA